rnacentral:tRNA from 1 species
GCGCCCGUAGUUCAACUGGACAGAACAGUCGCGUCCUAAGCGAUCGGUUAGAGGUUCGAGUCCUCUCGGGCGUA